rnacentral:rRNA from 1 species
ACGGGUGAGUAAUGCUUAGGAAUCUGCCUAUUAGUGGGGGACAACAUCUCGAAAGGGAUGCUAAUACCGCAUACGUCCUACGGGAGAAAGCAGGGGACCUUCGGGCCUUGCGCUAAUAGAUGAGCCUAAGUCGGAUUAGCUAGUUGGUGGGGUAAAGGCCUACCAAGGCGACGAUCUGUAGCGGGUCUGAGAGGAUGAUCCGCCACACUGGGACUGAGACACGGCCCAGACUCCUACGGGAGGCAGCAGUGGGGAAUAUUGGACAAUGGGGGGAACCCUGAUCCAGCCAUGCCGCGUGUGUGAAGAAGGCCUUUUGGUUGUAAAGCACUUUAAGCGAGGAGGAGGCUACCGAGAUUAAUACUCUUGGAUAGUGGACGUUACUCGCAGAAUAAGCACCGGCUAACUCUGUGCCAGCAGCCGCGGUAAUACAGAGGGUGCAAGCGUUAAUCGGAUUUACUGGGCGUAAAGCGCGCGUAGGUGGCCAAUUAAGUCAAAUGUGAAAUCCCCGAGCUUAACUUGGGAAUUGCAUUCGAUACUGGUUGGCUAGAGUAUGGGAGAGGAUGGUAGAAUUCCAGGUGUAGCGGU